AUUGAACGCUGGCGGCAGGCCUAACACAUGCAAGUCGAACGAGCGGCGGACGGGUGAGUAAUGUCUGGGAAACUGCCCGAUGGAGGGGGAUAACUACUGGAAACGGUGGCUAAUACCGCAUACUAUCGGAUGUACCCAUAUGGGAUUAGCUAGUUGGUGGGGUAAAGGCUUACCAAGGCGACGAUCUGUAACUGGUCUGAGAGGAUGAUCAGUCACACUGGAACUGAGACACGGUCCAGACUCCUACGGGAGGCAGCAGUGGGGAAUAUUGGACAAUGGGCGAAAGCCUGAUUCAGCCAUGCCGCGUGUAUGAAGAAGGUCUUAGGAUUGUAAAGCACUUUAAGUGGGGAGGCGUUACCAGCAGAAUAAGCACCGGCUAACUUCGUGCCAGCAGCCGCGGUAAUAC
rnacentral:rRNA from 1 species